GAAGCUGCAGAUGAUAUGGAUGCCGAAAAUUUUAUUUCGCUUCUUUAUUUCGCUACUGUGGAACAAGUGAAGUGAUGCAAAUUUCUGCUCAAAGCGAAUCAAUGGUCACAUGCGCACGAGGUUUCAUGAAGUGUUUUGCCAUGGAUUGUGUUCAACGAAAAUUUCCCUCAUUUGAAAUCGAUACUGAACAAGUUUUAGGAUGUCAACCAAAUUUUCAACUGUUUCAUCAAGGGGCUUCCAUUGUGCUCCCUUGGCCGAGUGGUUAGCGUCAUAACUAACAUGCCGGGUGUUCGGGUUCGAUUCCCGUUCUGGUCGGGGGAAUUUUUCGUCAAAGAAAUUUCCUCCGACUUGCACUGUGAUCACGCGUAUUCUAGAACUUGCCACUCAGAAUGCAUUCAAGGCGUGUUAUUUGGCAUAGAAAUCUCAACUAAGUACUAAUAAAAAUGACGCAAGUAAUACUACGUUGAGACGGCGAAGUUCCUCUAGGAACGUUAGUGCCAUUGAAGAAGAAGAAGAAUCAAGGGGCAGAUUUCAAGCGACUUCAUCCAGCUGAAUGUGAAGUUCAGCCUGACCCGGAACGUGAUCGACGAAGAGGUGGUUAAGGCUCGGCUCAAGGAAUUCAAGACCAAACUGUCCGAUUAGUGCUCGGUGAUCGAGAUGUUUUCCCUGCCCUACUCUGUCAGAACGCAAUCACCCAGCAAUCGGUCAUUCUUCGCCCAGGAUCCGCUGUGCGUUGAUGCAAAACGCGCUCAAGAAGCUGCUUCUGCCCCAGGAGUACGUCCUCGAGAAAUUACGGCUGAGUGCGUUUCUGGACGAGGAUCUGCAGAAGCAGCAAUUAGAUAGUGUUUGAAAGAAAAGUAUGAUGUAAUUUUAAUCACAAAGCAUUAUUACUGCAAUGCUGAAAUAAAAAAAAACACUCUAGAAUGAAUGAAUAGGCACACAUUCUCUUGUAGGCAGAUUUCAAGAUGAUCACAGGAAGUGAACAGAUAAUACACAUAAAUAAGUAGUGCCCCUAGCUUGUUAGAAAUUGUUAUUAUUAUUGCUUCAUAAAAUUUUACACUUUUAUCUAACCGUGUUUCUGAGACUGUUAAAAAAUAUGUGGCAAC